rnacentral:rRNA from 1 species
GACAGAGGCCCCAAGCGUUAGGCGGAAUCACUGGGCUUAAAGCGUGUGUAGGCGGACGCCUAAGUGUCUUGUGAAAUCCCACGGCUCACCCGUGGAACUGCUGGGCAUACUGGGCGUCUUGGGCCAACUAGGGGCAGCCGGAACAAGCGGUGGAGCGGUGAAAUGCGUAGAUAUCGGAAAGAACACCAACGGCGAAAGCACUCUGCUGGGCCGACACUGACACUGAGAGACGAAAGCUAGGGGGAGCGAAUGGG